rnacentral:miRNA from 1 species
UAGACUGAACCAGCGUGGCUUCC